AACCAAAAAAAAAAAAAAAAAACCCAAAGGAUGGAUGAACGAAUGACCUGUCCCACAAGAGGAAACAUCGAUCCAUUUUGAACAGUUUCCAUACAUCGAUUCAAAACGUGCAGAUCCUAACGUAGGAAAAUUCCACUCGGUGACUAAUCAAUUGCUAAAGGUCUGACAGACAAAUGAAGUGGUGAGCCUUUUAACUUGUCAUAAAUCUGCAGAAAGAAUGAAUGAAUAAAAUCAGGAUACAAAACUGCCGCAGAUUCUAAGCCCCUUCCACUUGCUUGCUCAUUCCUUCUCUAAUAGAAGCUGCUGAGUCAACAUGUGUCAUUGUCACCAGAUGAAUCAUAGAAGUCACUGGGGCAUGGUGUCAUAACUUCAGAUUCAAGUAACUGAACUACCCUGUGCAUGGUGGGUCGAUCCUCUGGGCUUGAAGAGACACAUUGGGUGGCAAUUGAAAGCAGCGCAUCAAGGCUUUCUAUUUGUACGCCCUCACAAUUGGGAUCAACAAUAUCUCGUUGCCUAUUCUCCGUGACCAAAAAAUUUAACUGCAGAAAAGGAAAUAGAUUGAAUAAAAAAUGGCAUCCCUUUGACUGCAUGGGUGUCUGCAUUUCAGGUAACUGUUGGCAGUUGAUGCAAUAACUUGCUUGGAAAGUUCACUUUGUGAAAUUAGAAAUAGCCUGAAGCCAAAGUCUAGGGGAGUAAAUGAACCAAGCAGAGUUUCAGUGUUCAGCCUCGGCUUGGUUCUCCCUCACCCAAGGUUGAACUUGACUCGGGCUCAUAGCACACCAGGGCACAAAGAAGUCCUGGAGCCUAGGUGCAGGCACACACCCUAGAAAGAAAAUAAUAAUAGUAUAACGAAAGUGUAUACCCAGCCUGUUCACAAGUUCACCAAACCCACUAGUUCACUUGCAACCCUAAAGGCAAGCAUUUGACGACAGAGAGAAAUAAGAGACAAGUCCAUUGCUUGAGGUGUUUUCAGAAAAUACUAAUCCAACAUGAUUGGACCCACGGUUCCCCUAGAAAUUUGUCGUGCUUCUAGUCAGUAACUAUAAUCAAUCAUAGAAGUAGACAGUACUAGCUAAAAUUUGACACAAAGGAAAUUGUUGAAAGAAAUAAUGAAUUGGGUCGACGUAGUGUGGGAAUACACUAAAAAAAAUGGACAUGUUUAUUGCACUGAAAUUUUAGAAGACAAAAUCCUUAUAAAUAUUAUCAAAAUUGGAUUAUAUUUCAAGAUUUAGCUCGUUGUUAGUCUAAUAGCGUUUAAUCUUACAUUCUAUACAUUACGCAUUAACCAUUAGCAGAUUAGAACUGUCCCUCACGAAUUAACUCUCAGCAGCCUUUUGAACUAUCCCUCAUGAAACAACUGGGAGCUUAAAACAAUAUAUAUAGUUAUGUACUGCAGAAUAAAAUAAACUGAGCAUUCAAAGACUAGACUAUGUUAAAGAAUUUGGCUAUUUUCUGUUCACUGAUGUUGGAAUUUUUUUUCUUUUCUAAAAACAAGUCAGAUUUCCUUGAUAGCAUUAAACAAAGCAAUACCAAAUUCUAGUAAAGACGCAGAAAAAAAGAAAUUUAUUUAACCAAAACCAGAAUUUUUAACAUGCACAGGGAAGAGGACCUACCCAACCAACAAUGUUAAGGCCCUUCUCAAUGAAUGAUGCAUCUGUGGGUCGCUUUCCACUUAAUACUUCAAGCACCAAGACCCCAAAACUAUAAACAUCAGUCUUUUCAGUUGCUCUACCACUCUGCAUGUAUUCAGGAGCUAGAUAACCAAAUGUUCCUGCAACAGUUGUUGUAAUGUGUGAUUCUUCAUCCUCUAACAGUUUGGCAAGUCCAAAGUCAGAUACACGGGCCUCCAAAUUGGCAUCAAGCAAAAUGUUGCUUGACUUUAUGUCACGGUGUAUGAUCCUAGGGGAACAGUCAUGAUGCAGGUAGGCCAGUCCUUUUGCUGCUCCCAUAAUGAUAUUCAGACGUGCAUCCCAGUCCAGUUGCUCAGAUCUUUCGUGGAGUGCUUCAUCAAGACUACCACCAGCGAGGAAAUCAUAAAUUAACAACUUCGAGGUAGUAGAAUUGCAAUAACCUCGCAAGUUCACCAAGUACCGAUGUUUUAUGCUUCCUAGAAUCUCAAGUUCCCUCUCAAAGAAACGAUCAAAACCCUCAUUCAUCCUUAAAAUUCUUUUCAAGGCAAAUACAUUGCCAUCAUCCAUAGCAAGCUUGUACACUUUUCCAAAGCCACCACAACCUAUGAUAUGUUCCUCAUUCAAGUUCUCUAAUUUCUUAAUUAUGUCUUUUGAUGAGUAUGGCAAGUCCCCAUGAAACAUUACAAUUGAAGCACCUCCACUAACAUCCAUUGCAUCACUUUCACUUUUACCAAACUUCUUAUAAAGAAAGCAACCCCAAAAACACAUAAGUGCCACCAGAAGGAGUGCACCAAUAGUUGCCGAAGCACUAAUAAACAGUCUUCCUGAGUAUUUCUUCUUUCCACCUUGAUUUUGGGCUAAAAAUGGUGCAAUGUUAAUUAAUCUCCACUAAGAUAACGUGUAAAGGACCAAAUAACACACACAAUAUUCUGUCUGAUACAAAUUUAUGUUUUAAAGCGUCUUCAAAAACUUGAGAGAGUCAGAUUUUAGCUCUUUACAUGGUUAAGUUCAUGUCAUGAGCCAUAUGAUACUUAAAUGCCCAUGUUUUUAAGCAUUCUAAAGGCGGAUGUGCACAGUAUCCAGAAUUGUGGAUAUUAUACCUGGCAAGUAGAGAUGCCAAUGUGAAUUAUAUAUAUUUAUCGAAGAAUCAAUUUAUCAUGCUUGCAAUUUCACCUGAUUGAGGAGAUUGUGAAUUAGUUGAAGGUCCUCCACUUUCAUCUUUACAAUUCAUAUUGAUCUGCCUCCCGCACAAGCCACGAUUCCCAGCGAAAGAGCUUUCUGUAAAGUUGAUAAGCACACCAUCAGAUGGUAUUGGUCCAACAAGAAAAUUGUUCGAUACAUUGAAAGUAAUGAGUUUAUUUAACUUCCCAAUAGAUGAUGGGAUUGACCCACUGAGAGAGUUGCUUGAGAUAUCCAAAUAUUGAAGCUCUGACAAGUUUCCUAGUUCACCUGGAAUUAGCCCACUUAAGUAGUUACCCUGCAAGUAUAUUCCCUGCAACUCCGUGCAAUUUCCCAAUUCUGAAGGAAUUGUUCCAUAAAAGUUGUUGUUGUAUAGAGCUAAAAUCUUCAAGUGCUCUAGCUUCCCAAUGUCAGGAGAUAUAGGUCCACUUAAUUUGUGAUUCUUCAGACUCACAUAUAUAACUCUCUUGGUUUUCUGAUCACAGGUCACACCUCUCCAAUUACAUGGGUCAGGAUCCUCAGGUCUCCAUAGGGGAAGGAUACCAUCUGAACUAACAAUAGCAUUCCUGAAGUUUAGAAGUGCCUCACCAUCAGGAUUGAUAGCUCUACUUUUGUUUAGAAGGAUAUAGAACAGUAGAAUGUGAAAAAGCCACAGCCCUUGACAUCUCCUCAGAUACAUGGCCAUUAUGGCAUUGGUAAAGCAUAAUACAGCUACUACAAAUCAUCUGACAGACCAAAGUCCAAAAUGCUUCCCUUGUAACAUAUAUUUAUCUGGUUGAUGAUACCAUAUGGCAGCCAAAAAUGAAAAAAUUUGCCAGACAUGAAAUCUACACUGGUCAGGACAAUCUACGAGAAAAGUUGGCUCUUAUAAUCCAGUGUCAUCCGUCAGCUACAACAACAUACAGAACUUAGAUUCGAUCUGUGAAGCAAAAAGAAGACAGCGAGCUGUAAAUUGAUACCAAACAGAAGAAAACAAAAUAAAAACCAAAACCGCCUCUCUCUAAUAUUCUUUCUAUCACAGAUUUCCUCACGGAUUUUUCUUUUUUAGAGAGAGAGAGAGACUGUGUGUGU
rnacentral:misc_RNA from 1 species